ACGAACGCUGGCGGCGCGCUUAACACAUGCAAGUCGAACGGAGAGGCCUGCUUUCCCUUGUGGAUUGCGGGUACUCGAGUGGCGAACGGGUGAGUAACACGUGAGUGAUCUGCCCCCAACUUGGGUAUAAGCCUGGGAAACUGGGUCUAAUUCCCGAUAGGACUGCAGGGUGGUGCCUGUGGUGGAAAACGAUUUUCUAGUGGUUGGGGAUGAGCUCGCGGCCUAUCAGCUUGUUGGUGGGGUAAUGGCCUACCAAGGCGGCGACGGGUAGCCGGCCUGAGAGGGUGGACGGCCACAUUGGGACUGAGAUACAGCCCAGACUCCUACGGGAGGCAGCAGUGGGGAAUAUUGCACAAUGGGCGGAAGCCUGAUGCAGCGACGCCGCGUGGGGGAUGCCGGCCUUCGGGUUGUAAACUCCUUUCGACCGCGAGGAAGCCACCUGGUUGGAAGGGUGGUGACGGUAGUGGUAGAAGAAGCACCGGCUAACUACGUG
rnacentral:rRNA from 1 species